rnacentral:rRNA from 1 species
AGCGAACGCUGGCGGCGUGCCUAAAACAUGCAAGUCGAACGGGCACCUUCGGGUGUCAGUGGCGAACGGCUGAGUAACACGUGGAUGACCUGCCUUCGAGCGGGGGAUAACUGCCCGAAAGGGUGGCUAAUACCGCAGACGUCGGUACUUCGGUGGACCGACUAAACCGAUUUUAGGGCUUGAAGAGGGGUCCGCGGCCGAUUAGCUAGCUGGUGGGGUGACGGCCUACCAGGGCGACGAUCGGAGCUGGUCUGAGAGGAUGAUCAGCCAGACUGGGACUGCGAGACGGCCCAGACUCCUACGGGAGGCAGCAGUUAGGAAUUUUGGGCAAUGGGGGAAACCCUGACCCACGCAACGCCGCGUGGGUGAUGACGGCCUU